CAAACGGCCCUUUUCAGGGCCACAUAAUGUAGAAACUCCUAUCGG
rfam:Trachymyrmex cornetzi contig54725, whole genome shotgun sequence.